rnacentral:rRNA from 1 species
GACGAACGCUGGCGGCGUGCUUAACACAUGCAAGUCGAACGGAAAGGCCCUGCUUUUGUGGGGUGCUCGAGUGGCGAACGGGUGAGUAACACGUGAGUAACCUGCCCUUGACUGUGUGAUAACUUCAGGAAACUGGGGCUAAUACCGGAGAGGAGCGCCUGCUGCAUGGGGGGUGUUGGAAAGUUUCGGCGGUUGGGGAUGGAGGUCGGGUUUACCAGCUUGUGGGUGGGGUAGUGGCUUACGAAGCGUUCGAUGGGUAGUCGGCAUGAGAGGGUAGACGGCCACAUUGGGACUGAGGGACGGCGCAGACUCCUACGGGAGGCAGCGGUCGGGAGUCUUGCACAAUGGGCGGACGCGUGAUGAGGCAGUCCUGCGUGCGGGAUGACGGCCUUCGGGUUGUAAACCGCUUUAGCCUGUGACGAAGCGUGAGUGACGGUAAUGGGUAAAGAAGCACCGGCUAACUACGUG